GAUGAACGCUGGCGGCGUGCCUAAUACAUGCAAGUCGAGCGAACGGACGAGAAGCUUGCUUCUCUGAUGUUAGCGGCGGACGGGUGAGUAACACGUGGAUAACCUACCUAUAAGACUGGGAUAACUUCGGGAAACCGGAGCUAAUACCGGAGAAUAUUUUGAACCGCAUGGGUCAAAAGUGAAAGACGGUCUUGCGGUCACUUAUAGAUGGAUCCGCGCUGCAUUAGCUAGUUGGUAAGGUAACGGCUUACCAAGGCAACGAUGCAUAGCCGACCUGUGUGGGGGAUCGGCCACCCUGGAACUGAGACACGGUCCAGGGUCCUACGGGAGGCAGCAGUAGGGAAUCUUCCGCAAUGGGGGAAAGCCUGACGGAGCAACGCCGCGUGAGUGAUGAAGGUCUUCGGAUCGUAAAACUCUGUUACUAGGGAAGAACAUAUGUGUAAGUAACUGUGCACAGCUUGACGGUACCUGGUCAGAAAGCCACGGCUAACUACGUG
rnacentral:rRNA from 1 species